AUGAUUGGCCAGUACGAUGUGCGUCCCGCUGGAAUCAACUUCUAUUACCUUGAGCCCAAUACAGAAGAAGUCCUAGGGUAUGGCUCGAGGAAGUACCUAGUCACAGUGAGACCAGAGCCAUCUAUCUACGAUUGCGAAUGUUGCAAGUGGCAUAGAGACGGCAUGCUUUGUUGCCAUGUCUUGAAAAUCUUCACACACCUUGGCGUUAAUGAGAUACCUGAACACUACAUCAAGUGCCGCUGGACGCAACAUGCAGUACCAAGUGCACCACCGCCACCUAACGAGGGCCCUCCGCAUGACUUGCCCGCUGAGUCAGAGAACCAAGUUCGGCAAGUGACUCUGACAAUGGAUUUUGCAAAGCUAGCCAAGAAGGCAAUGACUAGUGAUGAGGCAGCCGCUGCAGUUAGGAGGCACAUGAAAGCAGCAGAUACUGAGGUUACUAAGCUGAAUAAACUAAGGAAGAAGAGGCUAAAGGCAGCCCGGGAAGCGGCUGGUGCUAGGGAAGCAUCAAACCCUAAUGCCCCAAGUACUUCAAACCAUCCUCCUGCCCCCCUGCUCCUAUGGAUCCACCUCGUUCAGUCACGAAAGGGCGCAGCCGCAGCAAGCGCUUCAAAUCAGCCCUGGAACUACACCCUAAGAAAAAGAACAAGUGCAACAUUUGUGAAUCAAUCGAUCACACUGUUGCGACGUGCCUAG
rnacentral:rRNA from 1 species